rnacentral:piRNA from 1 species
UUGACAAGGCUGUUGGCUCUGACGU